UACGUAGGGUCCGAGCGUUGUCCGGAAUUAUUGGGCGUAAAGAGCUCGUAGGCGGUUUGUUGCGUCGGCUGUGAAAUCCCGAGGCUCAACCUCGGGUCUGCAGUCGAUACGAGCAAACUAGAGUGUUGCAGGGGAGACUGGAAUUCCUGGUGUAGCGGUGAAAUGCGCAGAUAUCAGGAGGAACACCGGUGGCGAAGGCGGUUCUCUGGGCAUGUCCUGACGCUGAGGAGCGAAAGUGUGGGGAGGCGAACAGG
rnacentral:rRNA from 1 species